rnacentral:rRNA from 1 species
AUGAACGCUAGCGGCAGGCUUAACACAUGCAAGUCGAGGGGCAGCAUAAUGGUAGUAAUACUAUUGAUGGCGACCGGCGGACGGGUGCGUAACGCGUAUGCAACCUACCCUUUACAGGGGGAUAACACUGAGAAAUCGGUACUAAUACCCCAUAAUAUUCUGGGAGGCAUCUUUCGGAGUUGAAAGCUUUGGUGGUAAAGGAUGGGCAUGCGUUGUAUUAGCUAGUUGGUAAGGUAACGGCUUACCAAGGCGACGAUACAUAGGGGGACUGAGAGGUUAACCCCCCACAUUGGUACUGAGACACGGACCAAACUCCUACGGGAGGCAGCAGUGAGGAAUAUUGGUCAAUGGACGGAAGUCUGAACCAGCCAUGCCGCGUGCAGGAAGACGGCUCUAUGAGUUGUAAACUGCUUUUGUACGAGGGUAAACGCAGAUACGUGUAUCUGCCUGAAAGUAUCGUACGAAUAAGGAUCGGCUAACUCCGUGCCAGCAGCCGCGGUAAUACGGAGGAUCCAAGCGUUAUCCGGAUUUAUUGGGUUUAAAGGGUGCGUAGGCGGUUUAGUAAGUCAGCGGUGAAAUUUUGGUGCUUAACACCAAACGUGCCGUUGAUACUGCUGGGCUAGAGAGUAGUUGCGGUAGGCGGAAUGUAUGGUGUAGCGGUGAAAUGCUUAGAGAUCAUACAGAACACCGAUUGCGAAGGCAGCUUACCAAACUAUAUCUGACGUUGAGGCACGAAAGCGUGGGGAGCAAACAGGAUUAGAUACCCUGGUAGUCCACGCAGUAAACGAUGAUAGCUCGUUGUCGGCGAUACACAGUCGGUGACUAAGAGAAAUCGAUAAGCUAUCCACCUGGGGAGUACGUUCGCAAGAAUGAAACUCAAAGGAAUUGACGGGGGCCCGCACAAGCGGAGGAACAUGUGGUUUAAUUCGAAGCAACGCGAAGAACCUUACCAGGUCUUGACAUCCUACUAACGAGAUAGAGAUAUGUUAGGUGCCCUUCGGGGAAAGUAGAGACAGGUGGUGCAUGGUUGUCGUCAGCUCGUGUCGUGAGAUGUUGGGUUAAGUCCCGCAACGAGCGCAACCCCUGUACUUAGUUGCCAGCAUGUAGAGAUGGGAACUCUAAGUAGACUGCCGCGAAUAACGCGGAGGAAGGUGGGGAUGACGUCAAAUCAUCAUGCCCCUUAUGACUUGGGCUACACACGUGCUACAAUGGCGUAAACAAAGUGAAGCGAGAGUGUGAGCUUAAGCAAAUCACAAAAAUAACGUCUCAGUUCGGAUUGUAGUCUGCAACUCGACUACAUGAAGCUGGAAUCGCUAGUAAUCGCGAAUCAGAAUGUCGCGGUGAAUACGUUCCCGGGCCUUGUACACACCGCCCGUCACACCAUGAGAGUUGGGGAUACCCGAAGCCUGUGAGCCAACAUAUCUAUGAGGCAGCAGUCGAAGGUAGAAUCAAUGAUUGGGGUG